AACGAACGCUGGCGGCGUGCCUAACACAUGCAAGUCAAACGAGAAAGGGGCUUCGGCUCCGAGUAAAGUGGCGCACGGGUGAGUAACACGUGGGUAACCUGCCUCUAAGAUUGGGAUAACUCGUCGAAAGAUGAGCUAAUACCGGAUAAGACCACAGUUCCCGCGGGAACAGGGGUCAAAGGUAGCCUCUGCUUGCAAGCUAUCACUUAGAGAUGGGCCUGCGCACCAUUAGCUAGUUGGUAGGGUAACGGCCUACCAAGGCAAAGAUGGUUAGCUGGUCUGAGAGGAUGAUCAGCCACACUGGAACUGAGACACGGUCCAGACUCCUACGGGAGGCAGCAGUGGGGAAUAUUGCGCAAUGGGCGAAAGCUUGACGCAGCAACGCCGCGUGAGUGAUGAAGGCCUUCGGGUCGUAAAGCUCUGUCGGGAGGAACGAAUGCUCCAAGGUUAACAGCCUCGGGAGGUGACGGUACCUUCAAAGGAAGCACCGGCUAACUCUGUGCCAGCCGCCGCUGUAAUAC
rnacentral:rRNA from 1 species